GGUCAAGUUAUUAAGGGUGCAGGGCGGAUGCCUUGGCACUAGGAGCCGAUGAAGGACGUGAUAAGCUGCGAUAAGCUUCGGGGAGUUGCACGUAAACUUUGAUCCGAAGAUUUCCGAAUGAGGAAACUCACUUAGAGUAAUGUCUAAGUAUCAUUAAGUGAAUACAUAGCUUAAUGAGGGGAACUCAGGGAACUGAAACAUCUAAGUACCUGAAGGAAGAGAAAGAAAUUCGAUUCCGUAAGUAGCGGCGAGCGAACGCGGAUUAGCCCAAACCAAUAAAGUUUUCUUUAUUGGGGUUGCGGACAUAUCAUAACGAAGAGGUAUCGUAAUUGAAGAGGUUUGGAAAGACCCACCACAGAAGGUAAUAGUCCUGUAUGUUAAACGAGAAGACUUCAGAUAUGAUCCAGAGUACCACGGGACACGUGAAACCCUGUGGGAAGCAGGAGGGACCACCCUCCAAGGCUAAAUACUACCUAGUGACCGAUAGCGUAUAGUACCGUGAGGGAAAGGUGAAAAGAACCCCGGGAGGGGAGUGAAAUAGAACCUGAAACCCUGCACUUACAAGCUGUGGAAGCACAUUUCUUGUGUGACCGCGUACUUUUUGUAGAACGGGCCAACGAGUUACGUUAAGUAGCAAGGUUAAGCACUUAAGGUGCGGAGCCGUAGCGAAAGCGAGUUUUAACUGAGCGUUCAGUUACUUGACGUAGACCCGAAACCGGGCGACCUACCCAUGAGCAGGAUGAAGCGAAAGUAAAAUUUCGUGGAGGUCCGAACCCACGAGCGUUGAAAAGCUCGGGGAUGACUUGUGGGUAGCGGUGAAAUUCCAAUCGAGCCCGGAGAUAGCUGGUUCUCCCCGAAAUAGCUUUAGGGCUAGCCUCAAGGUGAGAGAUACGGAGGUAGAGCACUGAAUGUCCUAGGGGGUAUUGCACCUACCGAAGACUAUCAAACUCCGAAUGCCGUCAUCUUAUACUUGGGAGUCAGACUGUGGGUGAUAAGAUUCAUAGUCGAAAGGGCAACAGCCCAGAUCGUCAGCUAAGGUCCCUAAAUGUAAGUUAAGUGGUAAAGGAUGUGGGAUUGCACAGACAACCAGGAUGUUGGCUUAGAAGCAGCCACUCAUUCAAAGAGUGCGUAAUAGCUCACUGGUCGAGUGAUCCUGCGCCGAAGAUUUCCGGGGCUAAAACUUACUACCGAAGCUACGGCAUCAGUAAUGAUGGGUAGGGGAGCUUCCCAUACGGGUUGAAGCAUGACCGUAAGGACAUGUGGACAGUAUGGGAGUGAGAAUGUUGGCAUGAGUAGCGAGAUGUGGGUGAGAAUCCCACAGGCCGUAAACCCAAGGUUUCCAGGGGAAGGUUCGUCCGCCCUGGGUUAGUCGGGACCUAAGCUGAGGCCGAAAGGCGUAGGUGAUGGACAACAGGUUGAUAUUCCUGUACUACCGAUAACCGUUUGAGAGAAGGGAUGACACAGUAGGAUAAGCUAAGCACACUGUUGGUUAUGUGUGCCCAAGCAUUGAGGCAGUCAAAGUAGGCAAAUCCGCUUUGAUAAUGCUGGGAUGUGAUGGGGAGCGAAAUUUAGUAGCGAAGUAGCUGAUUUCACACUGUCAAGAAAAGUCUCUAUCGAGGUUAAAGGUACCCGUACCGCAAACCGACACAGGUGGGUGAGGAGAGUAUCCUAAGGCCAGCGAGAGAACUGUUGUUAAGGAACUCGGCAAAAUGACCCCGUAACUUAGGGAUAAGGGGUGCCACCAUCAGGUGGCCGCAGAGAAUAGGCCCAAGCGACUGUUUACCAAAAACAUAGGUUUCUGCUAAGUCGCAAGACGAUGUAUAGGAGCUGACGCCUGCCCGGUGCUGGAAGGUUAAGGGGAUCUGUUAGAGCAAUCGAAGCAGUGAACUUAAGCCCCAGUAAACGGCGGCCGUAACUAUAACGGUCCUAAGGUAGCGAAAUUCCUUGUCGGGUAAGUUCCGACCCGCACGAAAGGCGUAACGAUUUGGGCACUGUCUCAACAACAGACUCGGUGAAAUUGUAAUUCCGGUGAAGAUGCCGGAUACCUGCGACAGGACGGAAAGACCCCAUGGAGCUUUACUGUAGCUUGACAUUGGGUCUUGGUACUACAUGUACAGGAUAGGUGGGAGGCUUUGAAACCAGGACGCCAGUUUUGGCGGAGCCAUCCUUGGGAUACCACCCUUGUAGUACUGGGACUCUAACCAUAGGCCAUGAAUCUGGUCUUGGGACACUGUCAGGUGGGCAGUUUGACUGGGGCGGUCGCCUCCCAAAAGGUAACGGAGGCGCUCAAAGGUUCUCUCAGUACGGUCGGAAAUCGUACGUAGAGUGUAAAGGCAAAAGAGAGCUUGAUUGCAAGACAUACAGGUCGAGCAAGGAUGAAAAUCGGACUUAGUGAUCCGGUGGUUCUGCGUGGAAGGGCCAUCGCUCAACGGAUAAAAGCUACCCUGGGGAUAACAGGCUUAUCUCCCCCAAGAGUCCACAUCGACGGGGAGGUUUGGCACCUCGAUGUCGGCUCAUCACAUCCUGGGGCUGUAGUAGGUCCCAAGGGUUGGGCUGUUCGCCCAUUAAAGUGGUACGCGAGCUGGGUUCAGAACGUCGUGAGACAGUUCGGUCCCUAUCCGUCGCAGGCGUAGGAAAUUUGAGAAGACCUGUCCUUAGUACGAGAGGACCGGGAUGGACG
rnacentral:rRNA from 1 species